rnacentral:piRNA from 1 species
UGCAAGACCACUACUGGCAUUUGUAAUGAG